UGAAGACCCGCCGGCCCAUCGCAUAUUCCUGCUGCCAGAGUCGCCGAACGGGUGCUGACACGUUUUAUAUUGAUUUAUGUGUGAAACUAUUGCUUUGUGUGCUUUACAGAAAACUGGAAAAAUAUUCAGCCCUCAAAGAGUUAAGCUGAACUUUAGUGCCAUUUAGCAUGGCUUUCAUUUUGUCACUGUUUAAUUUUAGACAGUUAUGUUUUAUCCAGGAUUUAAUUUCACUGAAUCUGAGCCAAGGCCGGAUUAAGACCCCCAAAGGCCCCUGUGUGACUUAGCUCCUUACAAGACAGUCGGUCUCACUUUUAGAGGUGCAAUGCAUGAACACUGAGUCAUUUAAUGACCCAAGACUCGAUCGCCUCAUCGGUCAUUUCGAGGUGUUGAUACUCAGUCAUUUCAUCAAGAUUUGUCCCCCUUGAUCGAUUCAUCAUUUCGGCAGAUACUUCCUAGUUUCAUCGAGGAGGGAGAGAAGGGUACUGGUUUAUAAUGGACCCUGGCCGACACAGACCCCUGGACGCACCACACCCAGAAUGGUAGCUCCGUCCCUGGGCUUAGCGGAGAACAUCCACCUUUUAAGUAGAUCUCUGAGUGUCAUCCACAUAAAAAUGAUAACCCGAUCCAAAGCUCUGAACAACGUGGUCAAGAGGAAUCAUAAGCUGAAAUCACCUCAAGCAAAUAAGGAUGGGCUAAACAAACAAGGGCACACAGUAUAUUAAGUCAUGAAGCACUCGCUUGGUUAUCCAUGGGAAUCAACACAAAUAGCAGGAAAUCCAGCGCAGGCCGGUUCAGCUCUUCUCUGAUUUCAUGGGCGCAGCAUCAGCCUGUAGUUGUCAUUUCAGUAACUGUGAGGCCUUGGCAGACCAGCAUCUCCUAGUCUUCCUUUUUUAAUUUGCUGAUUAUGCUAAACCUCUCACACGAAAUCUUUAAAGAACAGAGGACCUCAUGCCAAUGUGGAUAUAUAGGGGCUACGGUGGGGGUCAUCCACCUAGCAUGUGCAUUAGGUGGACAGAAAAUCAUCAAACAAAAGUGCUAAUACAGGGUGUGAGGCCUGGACGAAAUGUGCAUUGUUCUGGAAUGAAUGCUAGAGUGUGUUUUAAAUCAAGGAGCACUUCUCAGCAAAAUCCCAAUCAGGCCUUUCGAGGUAGCUGGAGAGCAGGCCCUCUGAAUGGGAAACUGGAUUUUGCAUGUUCUCCUCAUGUCUCCCAGUCCAAAGACUUGCAGAUUAGGCGGAUUGGCGAUGCUGCAUUGGGCUUAUGAAUGGGUGGUGUGUACACGAGUGUUGCACCCUGUGCUGGACUGGUGCCCUGUCCUGGGAUUGUUCCUGCUUUGCACCCUGUAUUUGCUGGGAUGGGCUUAUGAUUAAGUGGGCAUAGAAAAUGAUAUGGUAUUUUCAAUUGACGCUCUUAGGUUACUUCAUUAUUCACUAUUUAUGUAUUGUUAUUUAGUGUAUUAUGCAUUGCUUGGGACCGCCGUCACCAUUUAUGUUCUAGCUGAUUGCCAAGUCCGGUAGAGUGUCAUUGUUGUGGCGCGUGUGUCACUAUUAUAAGCAUUUUCUGAAUUAUUGUAGAAUUUUGUUCACUCAUUGGUCAGUGAUUAAUGCAUUUUUGAUUUGGAUUUGUUAGCCUGUUUUGUCUUUUGGACCAAGUCUUUGUGUCCAUUUUUCUACUUGUUUAAUGAUUUCAGUAAAUUCUUUAUAAAGA